rnacentral:rRNA from 1 species
UACGGGGGGGGCAAGCGUUGUUCGGAAUUACUGGGCGUAAAGGGCUCGUAGGCGGCCAACUAAGUCAGACGUGAAAUCCCUCGGCUUAACCGGGGAACUGCGUCUGAUACUGGAUGGCUUGAGAUUGGGAGAGGGAUGCGGAAUUCCAGGUGUAGCGGUGAAAUGCGUAGAUAUCUGGAAGAACACCGGUGGCGCAAGCGGAUUGCUGGGCCAUAACUGACACUGAGGAACGAAAGCUAGGGGAGCAAAUGGG